rnacentral:sRNA from 1 species
GUGGCCUGCACAAGCUCUACUCACUGGUCAACCUGGAUCUCCGGGACAACAGGAUCGAACAGGUGAGCCCAAGGACCUCACGGUUUUGGGAUUUCUGUGCCUUGGUGUGUAUCAUGUUAAAGAAGAAUGUUAAGAUUCCUUUCAUUUAAAAGAGACCAUGAAACGUGUUGGCGUGUUGCUGAAGUGUUAAGAGAAGGGACCAAAGGGGAUGGAACUCAUACCUUGCAGAUGGAGGAGGUCCGGAGCAUAGGCAGCCUCCCGUGUCUGGAGCAUGUGUCUCUGCUGAACAACCCUCUGAGCAUCAUCCCCGACUACCGGACCAAGGUGCUGGCUCAGUUCGGAGAGAGGGCCUCAGAGGUCUGUCUGGAUGACACAGUGACCACAGAGAAGGAGCUGGACACUGUGGAAGUGCUGAAAGCAAUUCAGAAAGCCAAGGAGGUCAAGUCCAAACUGAGCAACCCAGAGAAGAAGGGUGGUGAAGACUCCCGGCUCUCAGCUGCCCCCUGCAUCAGACCCAGCAGCUCCCCUCCCACUGUGGCUCCCGCAUCUGCCUCCCUGCCCCAG